UUUGAUCCAACUGUGCAUAAUCUUGGAUAUGCUCUCUGAAGGUUGUGGACUGUCGCAUGUGUGGGGACCCAAAUUCAGUCCUUAGGUUUGCUUUCAUAGAGUUCGCUGAUGAGGGUAAUAUAUCCAUAUCCAACCAUGUUUCAGUUUGCUUACUCUGUGUAAUGGAUCUACUGUUUAUCGGGUGAAAAACAUCGAUGUCCCAGAGGGUGCAAGGGCUGCUCCGAAUCUGUCAAGAACCGUGCUUGGAUAUUAUCCUGUCAAUGUUCUGCCGUCAAAAACUGCCAUUGCACCAGUCAACGAAACAUUCCUACCCAGGUCUGACGAUGAACGUGAAAUGUGUGCAAGCACUAUCUACUGCACAAACAUUGACAAGAAGGUCACUCAAGCAGAUCUAAAUUUAUUCUUUGAGUCCAUAUGUGGUGAGGUUGGUCGUUCUUUACUCCAAACACAAUCUCCCUUCUGUACAGCUAAAAGUUUGCAGAAAUGGCA